AUCACAGGACUCUUAAGGAUGGAAAAUGGAGGCAACAGUUGACACCACUUAAAAAGCAGCACUGGUCAUUUCUGGACUGACCAGGAAACACUGAGGCUCACGGAAAGGUUGAAGGACUACAAAUCGAGUUAUGUGAGCUUGGGGUGUGCGUGAAAUAUACAGGAGUGCGAGUAUGUGCGAUUGCAUGUGUGUAAAUGUCACAAUUUGAAUACAUAAAAUGCAAAUAACGACACCGACAGGACCCAGGCAAGGACUUCUAGUCCACCAUGCCCAUUUGCCGCCACUCCUUUUGCAGAUUCCUUGGCUAAAAAAGGAAUAUAAAUUGCUUCCAAUGCAGAGACAUCUAUUAAAAGGACAUAAAAAAGCAUAAAAGCGGAAAUGAUGUAUGGAAAGCAGGCGCCCACCACCCCUUUGCCAAUUUAGCGAAAAGGAAAGUAGAAAGUAGAAUUGUACCCAAAAGGAGGCGACCUGUUGCCCCACAUAUUUUUGGCAGUGCUAAUUUAAGCAAUGCAGGUAAAGUCGGCUCCUCCUCCUUUCCGCAAAAAUAAUAAAAUUUACACACUUGCAAA